GUGCGGGAAGGCAAGGCCUGCGGUGGGAGGCACCCCGCCCGCGGCUCAGCCCCGGCCCUGCGCCCCCACGGAUCUGAGCGCAGGUGCAGACUCACAAGCUCCUGUCACCAGAGAAGAUGGCUGUUUGCAGGACCCUGACCGCAUGAUCAUCCUUCCGGCCAGCCUGGCCCCUUGCUCCCUAGGCUCUCGUCCUCCUAGCUGGGCCUCCACACCAGCUUUCCCAGAGACCAUUUUUAAAGGGCUGGGUUUGCUCAGGAGCCUCAGCAUUCUUCUGCCCAGGAGAAGGGACAGCGUCAAGGAUGGGCUGAGGCACAAGUGAUCAGGAGACCCCCUGGAAGACGCAGCUAGGAUGUGGCAGAGCUGGGGUUCAGCGCUGUAGCUUCUGGCUCCUGAGGCCAGUGUUUCGGAGGACACUUCAACAGAGAACCCUGGGAGGUGUCUGGCAUGGAGAAGAUGCUCCCUUAAUGUAGUUGCACUGCUCAGGAAGUAAGGUUUGGGUCUCAGUGUAUUGGAUGGUGCCUUCCGUCCUUAACUCUACUAAGAUGACCUUUCCUUCUGCUUCCUCUCUGGCCCUCCUGCCCUGGCCAGACCCUGGAGGGAUGGUGGCUCUGGCUUGAGAUGCUGCAUUCCUCUCAGGUCAGGCCCGCCGAGACCCAGAGCCCACGGAGGCCUCCUUCCCCUCCUUGACAUUCGUCCUGCAAGUCCGGACGCCAACUCCAAGGCGGUUCUGUCUGGGCCUGGGCCAGAGUAGCUGUGGCAGAGUGCUCCUCCCUCCAGCGCCAGCCUCCUUGGGUGCAGACAGCCCAGCACAGGCAGGAAGGGCCUUCUGUUUGCCUUGGCUGGUGGGGAAGAGAUUAGUGCUUGCUUUCUGUUUUGACUCUUGUAUCUAACUAACAGGCAGGUCUGUGACGUCACAGAAAAGCACACUUGAGCCUUGAAUGAGUUUGGGGCCCGUUCUUAAUGCCUGGCCCCUGUAGAGGUGGCUGGAGGUAGGAAUGGGCGAUACCACCACCCCCUGAGGAUGUGGAGAAAUGUGAUGGCCAACUGUCAGCUCUCCCUACCCAGCGUCCAUGGCCCUUUCUCCUGAUAAUGCCUCUUCCCCUUCAGAGGAUCACCUCUCACCCACCCCGACUUUAGAAGCAGGCAUGGAUCCCAGGAUGGACAUGGAGACUCCCUCUUGGACGUUUUGCAGCAACUAUGGGGAAAGAGGCAUUUGUUUUUCAUGGGGUUUGCCAGGUUGAUGGAGCUGCUGGUGGCCAUCCUGUUCUCUACUUGAGGUCGAAGCCAACAGAGGAAAAAGCACAUAGAUGGAGAGAAUAUGCUGUCUGGACAUCAGUAAGCCCCUGGAUCCAGUCAUGCCUGAAGCUAAAUACACCUCUGGAUUAACCUCAUUAUAUGAGCCAAUGCAUUUCUUUUUUGCUCAAAUCAUCCUGAGUUGGGUUUCUGUCAUAGAAAGGGUCCUAAUAGAGCAGUAUUUUUCUUUGGUCUCAUUAAAAAAAAAAAAAAAAAUCAGUUCUGAGAUAAACUUUACAUGCAAUAAAACCUACCCAUUUUAAGUGCCCGAGUCAUAAGUUUUAUCAAAUGUGUACCCCCUUGUCACUACCCCCGCCAUAGAGAUAGAGAACAUUUCAAGCUCCAGGACAACCCCUAGGACCUGCCUUGGUUGUAGAGAUUGAUUUUGCCUUUUCUAGAAUUUUAUAUUAUCAUUUAGUGUGUACUCUUGUGUGUCUGGCUUGAUUCAACAUGUCUUUGAGAUUCAUCCAUGCUGUGCGCCUCAGUAGUUUCAUGCCUUACUACUGAGACACCUUCCACUGUAGGGAUGUACCAGUUUGCUCAGCCAUCUGUCAGAUGGUGGACAUUUAGGCUAUUUCCAGACUGUGACUAUUACAAAUAAAGCUGUUUUGAACACUGAA